rnacentral:pre_miRNA from 1 species
UUUUGAUUGUUGCUCAGAAAGCCAUCGAUCAGGCAAAGGCUUUCGGGAAACAGUCAAGCCG